rnacentral:rRNA from 1 species
GACGAACGCUGGCGGCGUGCUUAACACAUGCAAGUCGAACGGUAAGGCCUUUCGGGGUACACGAGUGGCGAACGGGUGAGUAACACGUGGGUGAUCUGCCCCAAACUUUGGGAUAAGCCUGGGAAACUGGGUCUAAUACCGGAUAUGACCACUUUACGCGUGUUUUGUGGUGGAAAGCUUUUGCGGUUUGGGAUGGGCCCGCGGCCUAUCAGCUUGUUGGUGGGGUAAUGGCCUACCAAGGCGACGACGGGUAGCCGGCCUGAGAGGGCGACCGGCCACACUGGGACUGAGACACGGCCCAGACUCCUACGGGAGGCAGCAGUGGGGAAUAUUGCACAAUGGGCGGAAGCCUGAUGCAGCGACGCCGCGUGGAGGAUGACGGCCUUCGGGUUGUAAACUCCCUUCGCUAGGGACGAAUCAAGACGGUACCUGGAGAAGAAGCACCGGCCAACUACGUGCCAGCAGCCGCGGUAAUACGUAGGGUGCGAGCGUUGUCCGGAAUUACUGGGCGUAAAGAGCUUGUAGGCGGUUUGUCGCGUCGUCCGUGAAAACCAGUGGCUUAACCAUUGGCUUGCGGGCGAUACGGGCAGACUUGAGUAUUGCAGGGGAGACUGGAAUUCCUGGUGUAGCGGUGAAAUGCGCAGAUAUCAGGAGGAACACCGGUGGCGAAGGCGGGUCUCUGGGCAGUAACUGACGCUGAGAAGCGAAAGCGUGGGUAGCGAACAGGAUUAGAUACCCUGGUAGUCCACGCCGUAAACGGUGGGUACUAGGUGUGGGUUUCCUUCCACGGGAU